rnacentral:rRNA from 1 species
UGGGGAAUAUUGCACAAUGGGGGAAACCCUGAUGCAGCGACGCCGCGUGAGCGAAGAAGUAUCUCGGUAUGUAAAGCUCUAUCAGCAGGGAAGAAGAUGACGGUACCUGACUAAGAAGCACCGGCUAAAUACGUGCCAGCAGCCGCGGUAAUACGUAUGGUGCAAGCGUUAUCCGGAUUUACUGGGUGUAAAGGGAGCGUAGACGGAGAAGCAAGUCUGGAGUGAAAGCCCGGGGCUCAACCCCGGGACUGCUUUGGAAACUGUUUUUCUUGAGUGCCGGAGAGGUAAGCGGAAUUCCUAGUGUAGCGGUGAAAUGCGUAGAUAUUAGGAGGAACACCAGUGGCGAAGGCGGCUUACUGGACGGUAACUGACGUUGAGGCUCGAAAGCGUGGGGAGCAAACA